GACGAACGCUGGCGGCGUGCCUAAUACAUGCAAGUAGAACGCUGAAGGAGGAGCUUGCUCUUCUGGAUGAGUUGCGAACGGGUGAGUAACGCGUAGGUAACCUGCCUGGUAGCGGGGGAUAACUAUUGGAAACGAUAGCUAAUACCGCAUAAGAGUAGAUGUUGCAUGACAUUUACUUAAAAGGUGCAAUUGCAUCACUACCAGAUGGACCUGCGUUGUAUUAGCUAGUUGGUGGGGUAACGGCUUACCAAGGCGACGAUACAUAGCCGACCUGAGAGGGUGAUCGGCCACACUGGGACUGAGACACGGCCCAGACUCCUACGGGAGGCAGCAGUAGGGAAUCUUCGGCAAUGGACGGAAGUCUGACCGAGCAACGCCGCGUGAGUGAAGAAGGUUUUCGGAUCGUAAAGCUCUGUUGUAAGAGAAGAACGAGUGUGAGAGUGGAAAGUUCACACUGUGACGGCAUCUUACCAGAAAGAGACGGCUAACUACGUG
rnacentral:rRNA from 1 species